AGAGUUUGAUUAUGGCUCAGGAUGAACGCUAGCGACAGGCUUAACACAUGCAAGUCGAGGGGCAGCAUAAAAGUAGCAAUACUUGGUGGCGACCGGCGCACGGGUGAGUAACGCGUAUGCAACCUACCUAUCAGAGGGGAAUAACCCGGCGAAAGUCGGACUAAUACCGCAUAAAACAGGGGCACCGCAUGGUGAUAUUUGUUAAAGAAAUUCGCUGAUAGAUGGGCAUGCGUUCCAUUAGGUAGUUGGUGAGGUAACGGCUCACCAAGCCGACGAUGGAUAGGGGAACUGAGAGGUUGGUCCCCCACACUGGUACUGAGACACGGACCAGACUCCUACGGGAGGCAGCAGUGAGGAAUAUUGGUCAAUGGGCGAGAGCCUGAACCAGCCAAGUCGCGUGAAGGAAGAAGGAUCUAUGGUUCGUAAACUUCUUUUGCAGGGGAAUAAAGUGCAGGACGUGUCCUGUUUUGUAUGUACCCUGAGAAUAAGGAUCGGCUAACUCCGUGCCAGCCGCUGC
rnacentral:rRNA from 1 species